rnacentral:lncRNA from 1 species
UAACUCAUUAUUCUGGUACUUAUUGAAAUACAGAAGGUAAAAGAAUCAAUACAAAUGCUCAACUAAAGUAUGUAAGGAUAAGAUUACUGAGCCACUCUCAGAAUUACUCCUCUAGCAAUUUGCUGGAUCAUUUGGAAGCACAUAGGUAAGUUAGUGUAUGGUGACUCCAAGAAAUUCUUCCUGUUCAUAAUGGAGAAAGAUAUUAGCUGGAUGAUCAAUAUCACCUAGGUUAUUACUUUCCCUAGCUGCAAUCGCAAAAUGCAAUGGACUCGAUUUUGUGAAUAUGUUGAAAUGCUAAGGCAAAAUAUCAUUAACACUUAUAUUAUUUGGGAUAGACCUGCUUCAGGGAGCUGAAAACUUGAUGCCGAUAAAAGUUUUAUAAAGAGAACUAGCAAGAGCGGUAUAGGUGAAAUUCUGCAUAAUGAUAAUGAGGUUAUCAUCUUCGCUUACACUUGCCCUGCUCAUUGUAAUGGAAUCAUGGCUGCGGAAUCGAAGGCUUUACAAUGGGGUGUCAACUAAUGCUUCGACGAUGGUUCCCGAAAUUUCAAAGGGGAAAUUGUAUUUCCUACAAUUAAAAAUAUGAAAUUGGGUAUUUCUCCUACCAAAUACAAGAUACUCAAGAUGAUUGGCUACUCAAUUCUAUGGAAGGAUCUCAUGUCUUUGUUGUGUAAUCAAAGAGCUAACCAAAUACUUUGCAUACUUGACUUAAUUAUUUGCAGUUAUUUGAUUUUCUUUUUGGGCUAUUCUUUUUUUUCCUAUUCUAAAUUAUCAUUGAGAAUUAUUGUUACCUAAAUAUGCCCAUCCAGCAUUACUAUGCAUAUGUAAACAAAUUAGUUUUCUCAAAC